rfam:Sphingomonas sp. Leaf34 contig_5, whole genome shotgun sequence.
CGCGCCACCCCGGGGGAGCGCUAGUCCGCGCUUGAGAGGAAGGCAGGAGCCUUCGACCCGCUGAACCUGAUCCGGUUGAUACCGGCGGAGGGAGGGAGCGGUCGCCACAG